GCUGGAGUAGCGCAGUUGGUAGCGCAACUGAUUCGUAAUCAGUAGGUCGAGGGUUCAAGUCCCUUCUUCAGCUCCA
rnacentral:tRNA from 17 species